ensembl:lncRNA
CCCAUGGACUGCAGCCCACCAGGCUCCUCCGCCCAUGGGAUUUUCCAGUCAAGAGGACUGGCGUGGGGUGGGGCAGCAAAGACUGUAGCGAGCAGACAGAUGGAAGGCGCUGGGGGAGCUUCGGCAGCAAGUGCAGCCCACGGGCAGGUGCACAGACCUGGGGAUGCAGCUGGGACCCUGGGGGCAGCCUGACGCCCCUAACGGCACAUCAGACGUCUGCCUGCAGCCCCCUGCCACCUUUCCCAGCCAUCAGGGCUCCCACACUGCGGGCGGAUUCUUUACCAUCUGAGCCCCCAGGGAGGCCGCUAGCGUGGAAUUAAUUCCACCCACCUGUGGGAUUCUGGCUUGGUCAGGUGGUGCUAGUGGGAAAGAACCCACCUGCCAAUGCAGGAGAUAUAAGAGACUCGGGUUCAAUCCCGGGGUCAGGAAGAUCUCCUGGAGGAGCGCAUGGCAACCCACUCCAGUAUUCUUGCGUGGAAAAUCCCACGGACAGAGGAGCCUGGCGGGCUGUAGUCCCUGGGGUCACACAGUUGGACACGGCUGAGUGGCUUAGCACGGGUGCCCGGCUUGGGAAAGAGGGUUGCAAUACUAGAAAGAGGCCACAAGAUGGCGCCCAGAAGAGGCCUUCCCCGAAUCCUGGGCACAGCCGCCUACAGGAGGCGUUGCGGGGCCUCACGGGCUAGGGGAACCUGCCCGUCAGCGCCCUCCCUCCCGAGGCAGGAGCUGCUUCCCAGGGCUGCAGGGAGAGGGGGAUUCAGCUCCUCCCUCCUGGCUUUCACAGGGCGAAGGCAGGGCUCACAGGACCACCCAGACCCCCUGCGGAAGGGCCCAGGAGAGGGCAGUUUCAAGCUCCCCGGGCGGGCCCAGCAAGUCCAUGGCGAGCGCACACCAGUGAGAACCCAGGUGUCCCUGCGGCACACACGUGACUCCACAGCACCGCUCGUCCUGACCUGCGUGCAGAGCCCAGCCCACGGCUGCUGGGGGGACGUGAACCCGCCCCCACUGCAGGGGAUCCGUCUGAGCCCCUCCUGAGGCUGACGCCCUGGGUGGCCCUGCAGUUUCCCCCCGGGAAAGGGGGUCUUGGUGGAGGAUCCGCGGUCGCCCCACAGCCUCACGUGACCACCCACGCGUGGGUUCAGGGUGACCCUCACACUGUCGUGCAGCCUCACCACCAUCAUCUCCAGAACUUCAUCUUCAGAAACUGAAAUUAUCCCCGUUGAACACUAACUGCCCCCCGGCCCAGACCCUGGCCCCCACCGCUCUGCUUUCCACCUCGGGAUGGGACUCCUCCAGGGACCUCUCAGCGUCCGUCCUUUUGGACAGGUUUAGCGCACUGGGCGCCGUGUCUUCAAGGUUCACCCGUGCCGUAUCACAUCAUGGAAUUUCCUUCCUUUUUAAGGUUGAGUAACGGCCAUUGUAUCAGGGCCCCCACAGCUAGCUGUCCUGAGUCAGAGCUGCAUGAACGUAGGGAUGCAGAGACCUUCUGGGUCACUGGCAGCUCUGGUAGUUUUUUGAGGAAACUCAACUCUUUUCCACCAUGGCGGCACGUUCACGCUCCCACCGCGUGGGCACGAGGGCUCCAGUCUCCUGACAUCCUCACCAGCUCUUGCUGCUUCCUGCUUUCUGCAGCAGCUAUCGGCCUUGUGCCUUUUCAUUCGCUCAUCUCUUUGGGUCUCUGGGUCUCAAGUGAGUCUCUGGAUGACAGCACACAGGGAUGGUGCACUUUAGUCCAUUCUGUCCAUUUCUUUCGGAACACUCAGUGCAUUUACACUUAAAGGACAAACUUACUUCCACCCUUUUGCCCUUUGUCUUCUAUACACCCCAUGGCUUUUGUCCCUCAUUUCCUGCAGCCCUGUCUUCUGUGUUUAACUGACUUUUCGCAGUGAAAUGUUUCAAUGCCUUCCUCAUUUCCUUUGUGUGCAUUCCCUAGCGAUUCUUUUGUGUUUACUAUGUGGAUUAUAUACAACAUACAAACUUCAACAACACACAAAACACUCUGCUCCUUUACGGCUCCAUCUCCACACCUUGCAUUUGUUGCCACAAAAUCACAUCUUAUACACUAUGUGCCCGCAAACACAAACUAAUAAUUAUUUCACACGCAUCAGUCCACUACAUUACGUAGGAAAUGAGAUUUAGAUUUACAAACCAAAGGUACAGUAACCUUGGCUUUGGCACCACCUUUUCUUCCUGUAAGGCACUCGUCUCUUAAACCAUGGACAAAAGGAAGACUGCAGAGCUACAGCCCAGGUUACAGAACCUGCUUCUGUAGCAGCCCGCGUCUACCUCGAGUGAGACCCUCAUCCCGCACACGGCUCAGAGGUGCCGUGGGUGCCCCUUGGCUCCCCUGCAGGGCUGUCUUGAGCAUUUCUUGAAGGGCAGGACUAGUGGUCAUGAGAUCCCUCAGCCUUUGUUUACCUGGCAAUGUCUUAUUUAGCCUUCACUUUUUAAGGACAUUUUUGUGGAUACAGGAUUCUUGGUUAAUACUUUUUCUUUGAGCACUUCUAAUAUGUCAGCCCCCUGCUUUCAGACCUCCAGAAUUUCUGAUGAGAAAUCUGCGGAUGAUCUUAUUCAGAGCAUUGUAUGUGGUGAUUCAUGCCUUGCUUGCUGCUUUUAAGGUUUAACCUUUGUCUUUGGCUUCUGAAAGCCUGAUUAUAGUGAGUCUGGAUGUGGGUCUCUUUGAGUUGAUCUUGUUGGAGUCCACUGAACUCCCUGGACUCAUGUCUUUCCACAAAUCAGGGAUAUUUUCAGCCUCUGUUUCUUCAAAUACCCCCCAGCCCCGCCUCUUCUCCUAGGAGCCCCACAACGUGCGUCUUCAUCUGAGAACUGACAGUGUCCCCGGGACUCAGGUUUCUUCAAAUACCCCCCCAGCCCCGCCUCUUCUCCUAGGAGCCCCACAACGUGCGUCUUCAUCUGAGAACUGACGGUGUCCCCGGGACUCAGGCUCACUUUCCCUCCAUUUUUCUUUUUGUUCCUCAGACUCAGUUUCCAUUGUCCUUUCUCCAAAUCCACUGAUCCCUUUUCCUGCACUCAAAUCUUCAUUUGGAUCCUUCUACUUUUCUUUUCUCCUUUGCUUUUCGCUUCUCUUCUUUUCACAGAUAUUUGUAAGGCCUCCCCAGACAGCCAUUUAACUUAUAUGAGUGAAAAAGUUGGCUUAAAGCUCAACAUUCAGAAGACGAAGAUCAUGGCAUCCGGUCCCAUCACUUCAUGGGAAAUAGAUGGGGAAACAGUGUCAGAGUUUAUUUUUCUGGGCUCCAAAAUCACUGCAGAUGGUGACUGCAGCCAUGAAAUUAAAAGACAUUUACUCCUUGGAAGGAAAGUUAUGAC